AUAUCUCAACUGUGAAUCCGCAGUUAUAUAUUUUAACAAUAUUUGCAUUAUUGUUGUCUUGCCGUUUGGUAUACAGAAGUAAGUUUCUUGUCUACCAAUUAGCAGAUUUAUAACCUUUAUGAAAAUAUUAAAAAAAAAAAAACUACAACACAGUGGCAAACUGCUUUAGGAGUCCAUGUCCAGUUUCAAGGCUGGAAACUGGGUAGAAUUCAUAUGUUCUGUCCAUACUUGCAUUGGUAUUCCCCUGAGUUUUCCAGUUUCCUCCCAUAUCCCAAGAGAGAUUAACUGGUAAUUCCACAUUGGUGGUGUUCGGUUAAGUGUACCCUACAAUGGACAGGGUUCUCAUUUAGCAUUGAUUUCUGCAGUAUUCCAGAAGUUGCACAAAUGAAAUGGACUUUAGCAGUGAACAGUCUAAAAAAAGUGAAUGGCAUUAAAAUGUACAUAUUUUGCAAUGAAUAUCCAAUUAAAAAGUGCAUCUGAUUUAGAAUAUAGAUAUUUUAGCCACUGUUUUAGCCACUCUAAAUCCUUUUAUAAUAACAAGGUCACACCCACUACUUUGUAAUCCUUAAAAGUAUUAAGUAAUCUGAACAAAAUCAAAUAAAAUACGAAUGAUUCUGUGAUUUCAAAACCAAUAUUACUUUUAGUCAUAUACUGGAGUAAAUGACAAUUCUUUCUUUCAUAAAAAGGAACAAAGACAGCAGACACUGUUUUGUAAAUUUCACACCUGCAUUGCUUUACAGACCCAUGUUUAACCAGCCCAAACAGAGCAGAAGCAUAAUGACUCCCCAAAAAUUCUUGUUCAAUGUAUAUUUGUUGCACUGAAUCAUAUCAGAGGUUGGUACAUUCAUACUACAGCCCCAGAGUCCUGGGUUCAGAUCCAAACCCAGGUACUAUAAUUGCAGUGCUUGCACAUUCUCCCUGUAUCUGCGAGCCCAUUUCAGCUACACGCUGCAUCCUAAUGCCAAGAAAGCUAGUUUGAUGACGAGUAAAUAACCCUGGUAUAAGUAUGGGUGUGUGUAUGCAUAUGCCCUAUCCAAAGAUUUCUUCUGCCAUGUAGUCCAUACCACAGUGGUAAUCUCUGGCUCUCUGUUAACUCUGCGCUAGAAUAAGAGAGUUCAGAACAUGACUGUGUGAAUUAACAUGCUCAACAGUUAACUUCAGAUUGUUCUGACACUUAUAACAUUGACUCUCUAUGUACAGAUUCUUGUAGUAUAUCGUUGUGCCUUUAUUUUAAAAAUAUGGCUAACUGGCUACAAAGCCUACAUAUUUUUGUUCACAUCUCUAUAAUUCUACAUGCAGUUGCCUUCCACAAUAAACCAAUUAUAAAGCAGGUUGGUAUAAAAAUCAUUAAUCUUAUCUGCCUGUGUUAAUUAAUUUCAUUAGAUCAUGAAAUAAGAAGCAUUAGGAAAAGGCUUAAACUUUGUAUAAGCAGAAAACGCAAAAACAAAUGUAUUUUAAUCAGUACUAGAUGUCUAAACAAUUUAAAUUCUGUUUAUUUUUGUGUGAUGCACUUCACUGGAUGAAAGCUAAGAGCAAUGUAACAAACUCAAAGACUAAAUACAUUUACUAAUUUAACAAUAUACCUACAGUAUAUGCAACAUCUAUACAAUUCAGAAAAUUUCAAUACAGAGUUAAAAGUCUCAAAGUCUGUGUAUCUGUGAACAGAAUUUACAGAAUGUCAGUUUCCAGUUAGCUUACAUGCACAAUGAAAAAUGUCAACACUUUAUUGAGUUGAUCUAGCGGGUUAAGAAUAUUUAGGCUGUCUAGGCUUGGCAAGUUGGUUCUGAUGUGUAAAAAAUUUUUAUUCUAAAUAGUCUAUUUAUAAUAUACUCUGAAAUUAGAAACAUCAACUGAUGUUCUUUUCAAAGCAAGUGGCAGUCUGCAAUGUACAGUAAAUGAAUUUAACAAUGCUGUUUCACGUCUUUCACUCUUGUAUCUACUAGGGUGUGACAGAAAACCUCCCUAGAUAAGGUUUAUUGAAGAAUUUUAAGGCAUUGAAAAUCACAGCAUAACGUGACAACCCAAUGGCCACAACAUUCUAGCACAUGAUAAAUGGCUGAAAACACAGCAUGGAUGAAGUACUCACUUUCUACAUUGUGCUUUCAUGUAGUUACUUUUGUACAGGGUCAGUUGCAGAAGAUUUAAAAAAGAUGUAUAAACGACAUCUGAAAAAGUGGUACAAAAAAAUGACUUGGAAAAUGAAAGUUCAUGUUCAUGUUUUAAAACGCAUGAUAUGCUCAGUUUAUUUUCUAGGUGCUUCUGUAUAUCUGAAACAAACAGUGCUGUCUUUUAUAGGCCUGGCAGCACUGUGAUAUCAAUAAACUAAACAAUGGUUGUACAAUAUUGUAAAAAUGUACAGUGUUAUGAUUUGUUUUCAAUCAUGAACUUUAAUUUGAAAAAAGUAUGCUAAAUAAAAAGAAUGACCACUACCA